CAAUAGCGUAUAUUAAAGUUGUUGCGGUUAAAAAGCUCGUAGUUGGAUUUCUGUCGGUGAAUAUCAGUCCGCCCACAGCGGUAGGUACGUGAUAUUUCACCGGCAUCUUCCUGGGGAAUGUGUCUGCUCUUUAUUGAGUGGUACAUAAGCCAGGACUUUUACUUUGAAGAAAUGAGAGUGUUUAAAGCAGGCUUAUGCCGUUGAAUACAUUAGCAUGGAAUAAUAAGAUAGGACCGCGUGGUCGUCUUGUGGUUUUGCACCGCGAGGUAAUGAUUAAUAGGUACAGUUGGGGGUAUUCGUAUUUAAUUGUCAGAGGUGAAAUUCUUGGAUUUAUGAAAGACGAACUUCUGCGAAAGCAUUUACCAAGGAUGUUUUUCAUUAAUCAAGAACGAAAGUUAGGGGAUCGAAGACGAUUAGAU
rnacentral:rRNA from 1 species